AUGUAAAUUUUUGUGUGAAUUUUUAUUUAUUUUAAUAAUAAUUAAUUUUUUUUUAUUCUUCAGUAAUUAAUUUUAUAAAUCAAAGAAAUUUGGAAUUAGUAAUUUUAUAUAGUAUUGGCUAAAUUUGUGCCAGCAGCCGCGGUUACACAAAUAAUACAAAUAAAAUGUUUUUGGUAAAAGUUAAAUUUUAUAUGAAAAAAUAUGUAUAAUUUUAUUAGGUGAAAUUUUAAAAUUAUUUAUUUUAUGAAUUUUAAUUGAAGCUUGUAAAUUUUAUAAAUAAACUAGGAUUAGAUACCCUAUUAUUUAAAAUGUAAUUAGUAAUACUAAGGUAGUAAUAGUUAUGUUCUUGAAACUUAAAAAAUUUGGCGGUAUUUUAGUCUAUUCAGAGGAACCUGUCCUGUAAUCGAUAAUCCACGAUGUACCUAACUUAAAUUUGUAUUUCAGUUUAUAUACCGUCGUUAUUAGAAUAUCUUAUUAGAGUAAUAAUUUUCAAUAAUUUUUAUUAAAAUUUAUAUCAGAUCAAGGUGUAGCUUAUAUUUAAGUAGAGAUGGGUUACAAUAAAAUUAUUUAAAUAGAUUUAAAUUUGAAAUUUUUUUUUGAAAGUGGAUUUGAUAGUAAAAUUUUAAAGAUUAAAAAUUUGAUUUUAGCUCUAAAAUAUGUACACAUCGCCCGUCGCUCUUACUAUUAAGAUAAGAUAAGUCGUAACAUAGUAGAUGUA
rnacentral:rRNA from 1 species